rnacentral:rRNA from 1 species
UACGAAGGGUGCAAACGUUGCUCGGAAUCAUUGGGCGUAAAGCGCACGUAGGCGGCCCCAUAAGUCGGAUGUGAAAUCCCACGGCUCAACCGUGGAAGUGCAUCCGAAACUGCGGGGCUCGAGUAUGGAAGAGGGUCGCAGAAUUCCCGGUGUAGAGGUGAAAUUCGUAGAUAUCGGGAGGAAUACCAGUGGCGAAGGCGGCGACCUGGGCCAAUACUGACGCUGAGGUGCGAAAGCGUGGGGAGCAAACAGG